GACGAACGCUGGCGGCGUGCUUAACACAUGCAAGUCGAGCGGAAAGGCCACUUCGGUGGUACUCGAGCGGCGAACGGGUGAGUAACACGUGAGUAAUCUGCCCCUGGCUUUGGGAUAGCCACCGGAAACGGUGAUUAAUACCGGAUACGACCACUUCUCGCAUGGGAUGGUGGUGGAAAGUUUUUUCGGCCAGGGAUGUGCUCGCGGCCUAUCAGCUUGAUGGUGAGGUAAUGGCUCACCAUGGCUUCGACGGGUAGCCGGCCUGAGAGGGUGACCGGUCGCACUGGGACUGAGACACGGCCCAGACUCCUACGGGAGGCAGCAGUGGGGAAUAUUGGACAAUGGGCGGAAGCCUGAUCCAGCAACGCCGCGUGAGGGAUGACGGCCUUCGGGUUGUAAACCUCUUUCAGCAGGGACGAAGCGCAAGUGACGGUACCUGCAGAAGAAGCACCGGCCAACCACGUGCCAGCAGCCGCGGUAA
rnacentral:rRNA from 1 species